rnacentral:rRNA from 1 species
GCAAGUCGAGCGCGAAAGCACUUCGGUGUGAGUAGAGCGGCGGACGGGUGAGUAACGCGUAAGAAUCUACCUAGUAGUGGGGGACAACUCGAGGAAACCAGGCUAAUACCGCAUACGCCCUACGGGGGAAAGCAGGGGACCUUCGGGCCUCGCGCUAUUAGAUGAGCUUGCGUUGGAUUAGCUUGUUGGUGAGGUAAUGGCUCACCAAGGCUACGAUCCAUAGCUGGUCUGAGAGGAUGAUC